rnacentral:lncRNA from 1 species
GGGGACGGUAUCUAGAGGCAUUCAGGAUGGUUCAGCGUUGACGUACCGUCGUAGGCUGUCCUACAAUACAGCCUCUAACAAAACCAGGCUGUCCCGAACCCCUGGUAAUAGAAUUGUUACCUUUAUACCAAGAAAGUUGGGAAAGCACCAAAAUCCGCAUGUGGCGUGUGCCCAGGCCGACUUCGAGGAGUCCGUGCUGUGAGACCUAAAGUUCUUAUGAGGUUGUCUAAACGAAAAAAAACAUGUUAGCCGGGCCUACGGUGGUUCCAUGUGUGCUAAAUGUGUCCGUGACAGGUAAGUAACUAUGAAAUCACAUGGGCUAUCUUAAGUGUGUCUGUGUCUGUUGCACUGCAUGCUAAUCAUUAUUAGAAGACUGGUGAAAGAUACCAAAAGUUGCAUAUUGUAUCAGUAGAAUCCUCCUUGACUAGGGAUAAUCGAUGCUGAACAAACUAAUAAAUGAUACUAGCUCCUAUUCAGUUAUGAUGUUGGGACAUCUUUAUGCUAGAUGUAGAAAUUAAAAGGUUGGGUGGGGCAGGCAGGUAAGAAAGUCUCAGGCUGAUGGAGAGUGGAAGGUCCUAAAAGUGUAGGAACAGAAUCGCCAUACGUAGUUCUAGUGUGGCUGGAGCAGAAUGUUUUGGGAGAUGAUAUACAGGAAAGGUAGAAACAUCACAGGUAAUGAAGGGCCUCAUAGGACAGAUUUUUUGGCUUGAUUCUUUAAAAUGUGGUAAUUGAUGGGGUUUGAGCAGGGCAGGGAAACCUUCGGUGUGCCAGAGACUAAGUGUGCAGCGGGAUGGAUAGUGAAGUCAUUCUUUCAGCAAAGGUGAGUGCUUGGAACGCUUUCUCUGCUUUGUCAAGGCACCUACAUGAAGACCAAAGGCUGGAUUGGGGGUGAAUGGGGUUAUUGGGCGAUGACUGGGUCUUGUGGAUGUGCAAAAGGAUUGGUAGUGGCAUAGGUAGGAAUAGAAGCAGUGGGCUUUAUGGUGAUAAUAUUUGCUCAGCAUUUUUAUGAUAAGCUCUGCCAAAAGUCCAUCUGGGAGGUAUUUUUUAUUUAUUUAUUUUUUUGGUGGAGAAACCAAGGCUUGUUGCUUAAAGUUACAUAGCUGGUAAGAGGAUUCGUUCCACGUUUUACGGAAGCGCUUACUCUUAAUUAACCCUACUGGCUACAUUAAGUUUUCUCCAGAGACCUAAGUGGAAAGAUUUGAGAGGUGAUUGGUCUUUAUAAGAGAAGAAGUUGGUUCGGAGGAGUGGUUUGCCUUCAGUUUAUUCAGCUUUUGUUCUAUAAAGUGCUCUGGCUAAGUCUCUACACCAAAUCUGACAUCAAACUUUGCAAGUUCAUUCUGCCUUUCAGGAGUUAAUUUGUAAGGGGAGGUUAGGCAUGUUACAUUAAUACAAAUACAAGCUAAAUAUAACUUCCAUGAAAUAUAGGAGAACUUAACUAUGGUUGAAGUUUGGAGGAGAAAUGACUUUAAAGUAGCCGAGAAUCUGGGAGUGGUAUUCCAGGUGGAACCUGAGUGACGGGUAAAUUUUAGACAAGAGGUCGAGCGGGCAUUGCAGGCAGGGAAUGAACAUAGUUUGAUCUGGCACAUUGAGGGUAUAAAAGGAAUGAGAAAUGAGAUUGGAAAGGUAACGUUGGAGAUGAAUGAGUCAUGAGUUGCAAGCUAGAGGAGUUUGGCUUUUUACCAGUCUUUGGUUCCCAGACUUUGCUAAACAUAACCACAUGAGCACAUUUGUUAAAAAAAAGUUCUCAGGCCCUAGCUUCUGGAGAUUUGGGUGUAGAUCUAUAGGGUAGCCUAAAGAAUAGCAUUUGCUGUGACACUGAGGGAGUCUGUGUAGUCUUUGCUCUGGGUAAGAGUGACAUCAGCUCUAUUUCUGUAAUGUGGUUAUGUCCAGGACAUUUGAAGGAGUCAGAAAUCCCAGGCUUUUGAGGGUAGAUUAUUAGAUAACCAGGGGUACCAGAAGGACACCUUAAGCUGAAAGGGUCUGUCCAUAGAAUUUUUUCAGCUCUUAAGUUUUAAAUCUGUACUUGUGUAGGUUUUGUUUACUUUUCUGGGUAUCUUACCUGAUUGCUUUACUCGGUUCUUUUAUGACACUUUUCUUUCUUGUGUUAAAUUGGUUUUUUAAAACUGUAUUUAACAUUUUCUUUUCUAGGAUCAAGCGCGCUUUCCUCAUUGAGGAGCAGAAAAAUCGUUGUGAAAGUGUUGAAAGCACAAGCGCAGAGUCAGAAAGCUAAAUAGAAAAAUAAAGCUUCUUUGAGUAAUA